rnacentral:rRNA from 1 species
AGCGAACGCUGGCGGCAGGCCUAACACAUGCAAGUCGAACGAACUCUUCGGAGUUAGUGGCGGACGGGUGAGUAACACGUGGGAACGUGCCUUUAGGUUCGGAAUAACUCAGGGAAACUUGUGCUAAUACCGAAUGUGCCCUUCGGGGGAAAGAUUUAUCGCCUUUAGAGCGGCCCGCGUCUGAUUAGCUAGUUGGUGAGGUAAAGGCUCACCAAGGCGACGAUCAGUAGCUGGUCUGAGAGGAUGAUCAGCCACAUUGGGACUGAGACACGGCCCAAACUCCGACGGGAAGCAGCAGUGGGGAAUCUUGCGCAAUGGGCGAAAGCCUGACGCAGCCAUGCCGCGUGAAUGAUGAAGGUCUUAGGAUUGUAAAAUUCUUUCACCGGGGACGAUAAUGACGGUACCGGGAGAAGAAGCCCCGGCUAACUUCGUG